AGUCAAUGUUGUUAUUUGUGCCUAGUUGAAAGACUGCUCUCUCCUGCACCUAGGCAGCAGAGACAAAGACCCUGACUUCUCUGAGCAGCCUGAAAAGUGACAAAGGGGAAUUGGCACACUUGGAGUUGAGAAAUUGGCAGAGAGGUGAUAAGAUAGCGUUUAAAGUCACAGAUGUUGCUCUCAGCAUUUAUUGAUUGUAAUUCAAGAGAGGAAAAAGGAAUAAAACUCUCCCCACACCGGAGGUCCUUUGGAAUAUGCACCAAACAGUGUCUAGGGAAAAACUGGCAUGUUCUUGAAACACAUGUUACUCCUCUCCCCUCCCACACCUGCAGCAGACAUCACUAAUCAAUGACAGCACUCUUCGCUGCUGAGCACUGUGUGUCCUUAACACUGUUCUCAGCCCAGCACUCCAGGCAGCCACUGCAAUUGACCAGAGUUGCCACAGGAGAUGAAGCCUCUUCUAUCCCAGCUAGUGAAAGGGAGUGAAGACACCUGGUGCUGCCCUCUGGGUCCCCUCACCUUCUCACAAACACAUGUUCAUCCACACCUCCUAGCCAUUGCAGGUCAAGACACUGUACUUGAAUGUUCUCCCUUCUGCUUUUCCAAAGCAGAUUCAUCCUUUCAGGUCUGGUUCAAAUUUCAUUUUUUCCAAGAAGCCUCUAGGGUACCCAAACCCAAUCUUCCCUCACCCAAUCUCUCUUUCCUUCCAUUUCCCAGGGCUGCCUUCUGAUACCACACAAGGGAGCUCUAUCCUAUGCCC
rnacentral:lncRNA from 1 species